rnacentral:rRNA from 1 species
AUACCGUAUAACAAUCGAAACCGCAUGGUUUUGAUUUGAAAGGCGCUUUCGGGUGUCGCUGAUGGAUGGACCCGCGGUGCAUUAGCUAGUUGGUGAGGUAACGGCUCACCAAGGCCACGAUGCAUAGCCGACCUGAGAGGGUGAUCGGCCACAUUGGGACUGAGACACGGCCCAAACUCCUACGGGAGGCAGCAGUAGGGAAUCUUCGGCAAUGGACGAAAGUCUGACCGAGCAACGCCGCGUGAGUGAAGAAGGUUUUCGGAUCGUAAAACUCUGUUGUUAGAGAAGAACAAGGAUGAGAGUAACUGUUCAUCCCUUGACGGUAUCUAACCAGAAAGCCACGGCUAACUACGUGCCAGCAGCCGCGGUAAUACGUAGGUGGCAAGCGUUGUCCGGAUUUAUUGGGCGUAAAGCGAGCGCAGGCGGUUUCUUAAGUCUGAUGUGAAAGCCCCCGGCUCAACCGGGGAGGGUCAUUGGAAACUGGGAGACUUGAGUGCAGAAGAGGAGAGUGGAAUUCCAUGUGUAGCGGUGAAAUGCGUAGAUAUAUGGAGGAACACCAGUGGCGAAGGCGGCUCUCUGGUCUGUAACUGACGCUGAGGCUCGAAAGCGUGGGGAGCAAACAGGAUUAGAUACCCUGGUAGUCCACGCCGUAAACGAUGAGUGCUAAGUGUUGGAGGGUUUCCGCCCUUCAGUGCUGCAGCUAACGCAUUAAGCACUCCGCCUGGGGAGUACGACCGCAAGGUUGAAACUCAAAGGAAUUGACGGGGGCCCGCACAAGCGGUGGAGCAUGUGGUUUAAUUCGAAGCAACGCGAAGAACCUUACCAGGUCUUGACAUCCUUUGACCACUCUAGAGAUAGAGCUUCCCCUUCGGGGGCAAAGUGACAGGUGGUGCAUGGUUGUCGUCAGCUCGUGUCGUGAGAUGUUGGGUUAAGUCCCGCAACGAGCGCAACCCUUAUUGUUAGUUGCCAUCAUUCAGUUGGGCACUCUAGCAAGACUGCCGGUGACAAACCGGAGGAAGGUGGGGAUGACGUCAAAUCAUCAUGCCCCUUAUGACCUGGGCUACACACGUGCU